rnacentral:misc_RNA from 1 species
AUGAGAACGUGCCCUCCGGGGUAGAUCUCCCACCCUUUGUUUAUCAUACCUUUGUUGCUUUGGCAGGCCCGUCUCCGGACCGCCGGCUUCGGCUGGCCCGUGCCUGCCAGAGGACCCCAAACUCUGUUUGUUAGUGUCGUCUGAGUACUAUUUAAUAGUUA